UCAAUCAGCUGCUGCAGCUGAGCUGCAUUAGAUUUGUCUGUUCAUUACUGCAGCAAUCAACGUUGUUCUGGUUUUAUGGACUAAAAUGUUUUAAGUGUGUCUCGAACCUAUGCCACCGAAUAUAGAAUAGAAAGAUAUAAACUGUGGUGUCUGAUUAGCUACAAUUAAAUGUAUCGUUAAACUGUGCUAAAUUCAUAUACAAAGUAAAGUUGUCUUAGAUUACAAAGUUAGAGAGUUCUACUCCAGUUUGAAAUUCGGCCUUGUUUAAUUUCCAGAGUUUAUUAACGGUUUUAUUAUUAUUGAUAUGUACCUGUACUUACCUGAGAUCUAUUAUACCUAGUAUAAUUGAUAGAAAUAAAAUAGGUUUUCUAGGAAUAUUUUGGAAAUUUGCAAGAAUAGGU